GGAUCCAGACUUUGAUCAUGGCUCAUGAUAAACGCUGGCGGCGCACAUAAGACAUGCAAGUCGAACGAACUUAACCAUUAGUUUACUAUUGGAGCGGUUAGUGGCGGACUGGUGAGUAACACGUAAGCAACCUGCCUAUCAGAGGGGAACAACAGUUAGAAAUGACUGCUAAUACCGCAUAUGCCUUAGAAUCACAUGGUUCAAAAGGGAAAGGAGCAAUCCGCUGAUAGAUGGGCUUGCGUCUGAUUAGCUAGUUGGUGGGGUAAUGGCCUACCAAGGCAACGAUCAGUAGCCGAACUGAGAGGUUGAACGGCCACAUUGGGACUGAGAUACGGCCCAGACUCCUACGGGAGGCAGCAGUCGGGAAUAUUGCGCAAUGGAGGAAACUCUGACGCAGUGACGCCGCGUGCAGGAAGAAGGUUUUCGGAUUGUAAACUGCUUUAGACAGGGAAGAAAAAAGACAGUACCUGUAGAAUAAGCUCCGGCUAACUACGUGCCAGCAGCCGCGGUAAUACGUAGGGAGCGAGCGUUAUCCGGAUUUAUUGGGUGUAAAGGGUGCGUAGACGGGAAGUCAAGUUAGUUGUGAAAUCCCUCGGCUUAACUGAGGAACUGCAACUAAAACUGAUUUUCUUGAGUACUGGAGAGGAAAGUGGAAUUCCUAGUGUAGCGGUGAAAUGCGUAGAUAUUAGG
rnacentral:rRNA from 1 species